rnacentral:pre_miRNA from 1 species
GACCCUGGUCUGCACUCUAUCUGUAUUCUUACUGAAGGGAGUGCAGGGCAGGGUUUC